CCCUGCAGCUCUCUCCUGGUUUCCCACAGAAGCUAAGCAGGGUUGAGCCUGGAGUACCUGGAUGGGAGACCUCCGGGGGAAAACUAAAGUUGCUGCUGGAA
rnacentral:rRNA from 1 species